rnacentral:pre_miRNA from 11 species
CUUUGAGUGUGGAUCUGAAAGACCCCCAGAGUGGGGAGACCCUCACUCAAGUCUCGGGAUAAGCCGACACCCCAAUAAUUCAAGAGAGACC